GACGAACGCUGGCGGCGUGCUUAACACAUGCAAGUCGAACGGAAAGGCCCUGCUUUUGUGGGGUGCUCGAGUGGCGAACGGGUGAGUAACACGUGAGUAACCUGCCCUUGACUUUGGGAUAACUUCAGGAAACUGGGGCUAAUACCGGAUAGGAGCUCCUGCUGCAUGGUGGGGGUUGGAAAGUUUCGGCGGUUGGGGAUGGACUCGCGGCUUAUCAGCUUGUUGGUGGGGUAGUGGCUUACCAAGGCUUUGACGGGUAGCCGGCCUGAGAGGGUGACCGGCCACAGUGGGACUGAGAUACGGCCCUGACUCCUACGGGAGGCAGCAGUGGGGAAUAUUGCACAAUGGGAGGAAGCCUGAUGCAGCAACGCCGCGUGCGGGAUGACGGCCUUCGGGUUGUAAACCGCUUUCGCCUGUGACGAAGCGUGAGUGACGGUAAUGGGUACAGAAGGACCGGCCAACUACGUG
rnacentral:rRNA from 1 species